ensembl:lncRNA
CUCGGAGGCCGCGGAGCCGGGAGCGCCGGGGGCGGAGAGAGAGGCGGCCGGGGCGGCGCUGGCGGCGGAGGCCGCGGCGGGGGCGCAGCAGCUUCGGCGGCGGGAAGCCGGCGGUAGAGACUCACCGGAGGGAACGGCGCGAGCGCCCCGCCAUCGUCCCGGAGACCCAGGUUUGAUCCCUGGGUUGCGAAGAUCCUCUGGAGGAAGGCAUGGCAACCCGCUGCAGAAUCCUUGCCUGGAGAAUUCCAUGGACAGAGGAGCCUGGGGGGCUACAAUCCAUGGUGUCGCAAAGAGGCGGACACGACUGAGCGACUGAGCACUGCGCAGGGUGCAUAUGUACAUGUAUUCUUUUACUGUCUGUCUCUGCCUCGUGCCGUUAAACUGUGAGGUCUGUCUGGGCAGGAGUAUCCGUACCUCCAGGGCCUGUAGCGCCCGUGCUGGGCACAGAGCAGGAGUGGACGGAUAUGCGUGUGCACAGAGGGAUGGUGAGGAACCUGUGUGCUGAAGCCCAAGCCUGAGCGCCGCUCGUUGCUUGCGCAGUCGUGGGCAGAGUAGCUUCAGAGCUUUAGAAUCCUGUAUGCCGACCGUGCGUAAGCCCUAGCUGCCCUUGCCAGGAUUUGAAAAAUGUGAAAUGAGAUCUCUAAUGAGAUGCUUUGCAAAAGUGUAAAAUGCCGUAUAAAUGUAAGUUGGUACAGUAGCAAUAAUUUCAGUAGUGAGGCUACCCAAGAAUUUAUAAUUAGAGUUUCAACUUUACUGAGUUGGUAAGUAGCUAUUAUGUAAUAUUUAUUAGUAACUUAAACUUUCUGUAUGCAUUAGUUAGAACACAAGAUUGGGCCCAUGUUUUGACUACAGUGGCUUACAAGCUGAAUCUCUUUCUCUCUCAUGUAAGUCGUCUAAGGCUGAUGUGGCAGCUCCAGGAUACAGGGGACCUUGGGUCCUUCUGACUUGUUGCUUUCCUGUGUAUAACGGGAUCCCAUGGCCCCCACAGUUCAAGACAGCUUGCCACCUCAUUCACGGUCCAGGAACAGGAUGGGGGAGAGAACAACCCUUCUUUAAAGACGAACCUGGAAAUUGCAUACGUGACUUGUUCACACCUGUUGGUCGGAACUUCGUCAGGUGGCCCCAUGUAGCUGCAAAGGAGGCUGGGAUAUAUGGUCAUCAGUAGGGUGGCUGAUCGUCUGCCUGAAAAAUCUGUUUUUACUGAUGAAUAGGAGAAUGGGGGAUUAUGAAGCAUUGCCUGUCACUCUUUCAGAUGUUUUGGAAGAAACUUAACAGAGAUGAACUUUGGAAAGACAACUUAUUGCACUAAUUAAUGUUUAUAUUCCGUAUUUGCUCACUAAUCAUUUGGACUAUGGUGUGUAAAUUGAAAUAGAUUGUCAGUACUUAGUAUAUGCAGUAUAUACAUAUGUAGUCAGAUUAGAGUUAAUGUAACUAAACUUAUAAUAGUGAUGGAAUUUGGAGUCUCAUAUUACAUUAUUUUAUUGAAGGUAUUUUCUGAUAGAAACAUAAUUCUCGAUUGCUGUAACUGUUAUACGUAAACAGUAUUUGAAGCCUAGGCCUUUGGGUUUCGUUUUAGCAGUCCCGUGGACCAUUUUGUGUGUAUUUGUGUACAUAACCUCAGCAAGCAAUACUAGGAGAGUCUGAUUCAGUAUUGCAGGAUCUUGUCAGGUUUUCAGUAAGUGUUUGGGUCACUGAAGUUGUAACGAUCAUAGCAGUGAUAUUUAAACAUUUACUGUCCAAUGUCUUGCUCUUUUUUUCCUGUGGGUUUGACAGAAGACGAAGGUCUAGGAUUCCUUUGAACUAGCCUAUAAUUAGGUCAAGUAGAGACCUGAGGAACUAAUGAGCCUCAGAUAGUUUUCAGGAGAACUUGUCAGAGUUGUGGGACUCCCCCGCCCCAGACUUGCCUUUCUGAAGGUUUGAGUGAUGCACUGGACUCCACUGUCUUGAUUGGGACUGCAAGUAUCCCUGAUGCAGUAGAAACAUUUUGAGAAACAUUGACAUAGUUCAUUUCUCAUCUUAGAGGAGGAAAUGGAUGCAAAGAAAUGAAAUGACUAACCAGUGCCUCGGAGUAAGCAGGUCGGGGGUGGGGGCUAGCGCAUGUUUUCCCGACUCUUGGGUCGUUGUUCUUUCCCCAGAAGAGAGGAAGGAGAAGAGCACAACUGCAUUUGUUAUUUUAUAGGAAGAUCUGUCAUUCCAAUGUGUUGCUAUUUAUGUGUGAGCUCAUUGCUAUUGAAUGGUUGGCUCACUUCACUGUCUUCUGAGCCUCUUAGAAAAAUACUGUGAGUUGGUCCAAUAAAUAUUUAAAGGUGGAAAGUUGAGGUUUUAAGUCACGUAUCAUUAGUGUUGGUGCGUUAGGGUAGAUGAAAGGGAGGUGUGGGUUUGGCAUGUUCAGAAGGAGCAAAGGCAGGCCAUGUCCUAAGAUCAUUCGUUUCCUUUUCAGCUGAUUCGCUUGCCAGUCUCACUGUGGAAUUCAUACUGUAGAUUAAGGCAAGAGCUGGAUCCCCUAAUUUAAAAUGGAAAUAUUCCUAGGGAAAUAGCCUUCAUCUGUUAGCAGGUUAACACUUCAUCAAUUAGCUGUUGUCAUUUUAAACGUUGGAGAUGAGCACCCACACUAAUAAAAGAGCUUUUGGGAAGAGGAGGGAGGGUUAGGGCACAGUGCCCUUGUCCAAGGAGAAUGACGGGCCUGUUUGAGAAGUGUCUGCUUGUGGUGUGGCCCUUGCAUGGUGCUCAGAGGCUUCUCUGGUGGCCGAGGUUGGUAGCGUUGGGCUGGCCCUUGCUGGCCGGUCAGGGUUGGUCUUGGGACCGUAGAUAAUUUGUUGAGGCCCUCUGGGCUUGAUUGAACACGUGGUCAUUGGAGUAGGAGUGUCCUCUUAGCGCUUUAUUAUCUGUUUAGGACUCCUGUUUGAGCAGGCUUAUAUCAGACUUCAAAGGUAUCAUUUUGAUCUGGGGAAUUUUAGUUUUUAAAGAUCAACAAGUUUAUUUUUAUGAUUAAAAAAUGCAGCCCUAUAGAAUGAAUGGUGUCACCCACUUCCAGCCCUCCCCGCUUGUUCUCCAUAAAUAACAGCUAGUUUUUCCUACCAGAAAUGUUCUAGACGUAUAUAUGUAAACACGUAUAUACAUGUGGGUUACAAAACAUGGGGCAGCAGAGGAUGAGAUGGUUGGAUGGCAUCACUGACUCAAUGAGCUUAGAUUUGAGUAAAUUUCGGGAGAUGGUGGAGGACAAAGAAGCCUGGUGUGCUGCAGAUCAUGGGUUUGCAAAGAGUGAGCAACUGAACAACAACAAGUGACAAAACCGUCCGUAUGUUUAGUGUGAUCCCGAUUUUUUUUUUUGAAGUGUGACAUUGUGUAUGUGUACAGUCUUUGUACUUAAAAAACAAAUGGGGUCUUGCUAAGCAUGCGGUUUUGCAACUUAAAUGUCUUGCUCUGUCUUGGAAAUACUCCUGUGUCAGGUGGCAGAGUUUCCCUGUGUGUUCUUUUUUAAACAGUUGGGAAGUAUUUGAUGUUAUGGAUGCAACACAAUUGAGUCAGUCUCCAUUAGAGAGAAUUUAAACCCCCCCCCCCCCCAUUUUUAGAAGUUAAAAAAAAAUAUAUUUUGUUUAGUUUUGGCUGCACUGGGUCUUGGUUGCAGCUUGCAGACUUUCUCUCUUUGCAGGGGCUAUUCUUCGUUGCUCCAAGGCACAUGAAAUCUUCCUGGCCCAGGGACUGAACCCAUGUCCCCUGCAUUGGCAGGUGGAUUCUUAACCACUAGACCCCCAGGGAAGCCCAUACUUUUGCUAUUUUUAAAUAAUGCUGCAGCAUAUAUCCUUGUACAUGUAACAUUUUUUGUCAGCAUUAGCCAGAGGAUACAUAUUUAUAAGAGAAAUUGCUUGUUUACCAGGUAUAUGUACAUAUGAGUAUGUUUUGCCAACUGUCUUCCAAAAAGUAGCACCAAUUUAUACUUCAGUAGCAGUGUCUAAGAGUGUGUAGUUUCCCAAAUCUCAAAAACACUGGCAUUAUUCAAGUUUUAAAUCUUUUGUCAAUUUGAUAGGUGAAUGGUGCAGUCUAGUUGUUUGAAUUUGUACUUCCGAUGAGAGAAUUUGAGCAUCUUAUGGUGUACUAUAAGUCUUACACUUUAAGAAAAUAUUCACUCUUUGGUAUUUAAUUAGAAUUGUUUUGUGAUGUUUCUGUAUUCUGUUGAAUGAAAAAUGAUGUUCUUGUAAAUACUUUGAUAAAUUGUAAAAGGUGAGUCUUGUUCCUCUUCAACUGAGGAUACUUUUGCCUGUCCUCUGUAUGUGAAUUGUGAUGGUAGAAACUUUCACCACAAAAAUGAGUAAGGUUUGGUGACCUCAGCUGUUAAGUUUUGAAAUAGUUGUGUGUAUACCAGCAAAACAGGACAAAGAAGACCAUGACUGCUAACAGUUAGUGGAUUCUUAACCACUAGGCCACCAGGGACGUCCUGACACAGGACUCCAGGUUUUGGAGAUAGAAAGGAGAGGAUUCAACUUUGGUGGCAGUAUAGUAAAGCUCUUGAGGAGUCGAAUGAUUGGCUUGAUGGGAACAGUUGAAAAUAUUUCCUAGUAAGGUCCUGAAGGAACAGUGGAAGAACAGAAGAGAGGAUUACUGUGGUUCAGUCCUUCUACUAGUGACAGGUGCAAAUAACUUGUUGUUGUUCAUUUGCUUGGUGCUGUCCAACUCUUUGUGACCCGGUGGACUGCAGCACACCAGGCCUCCCUGUCCAUCACCAAUUCCUGGAGUUUACCCAGACUCAUGUCCAUUGAGUUGGAAAUGCCAUCCAACCACCUUAUCCUCUGUCGUCUCCUCCUCCUGCCUUCAAUCUUUCCCAGCAUCAGGGUCUUUUCCAAUGAGUCAGUUCUUCGCAUCAGGUGGCCGAAGUAUUGAAGUUUCAGCUUCAACAUCAGUCCUUCCAAUGAAUAUUCAGGGCUCCUUCAGAAUGGACUGGUUGGAUCUCCUUGCUGUCCAAGGGACUCUCAAGAGUCUUCUCCAACACUGCAGUUCAAAAGCAUCAGUUCUUUGACUCUCAGCUUUCUUUAUGGUCCAAGUCUCAGAUCCAUACAUGACUCCUGGAAAAACCAUAGCUUUGACUAGACGGGCCUUUGUUGACAGGUAGAAAUAAUGUAGCGCCAUUAAAAAUGAGCUACAAAAUGGGGCAGUGGAGGAAGGCAGCGUUGGCAGUGGUGAUCCUGGAGAGGAAACGGUGUCCCAGCUCACGGGCUGAGAUGUGUGGAGUAGUUAAACGUGUGUGUUCAAUUUAUUCUGAGUAGCUUGGUAUUUUCCUGAAAAAUACCACAUUUAUUCUGUUACUUUUGCAUAUGUUCUUAUUGGGAAACGAGUCAUCUAAAAAUCAUUUAUCUUGUGAGGUGGAUAGAGCUAUUACUGAGUGCCUGUUGGGCACCACACGUGACCCUAGGGCGGGGGGUCACUGCCCGCGCUGUGUGCGCUGGGGCGCGGUCAGCUCUCACGGCAGGUUAUGGGCUCAGUCUAGGGCAGACAGGCAUUUUCAUUAAAGGCAGCACAGUCUAUGAAACGGAAUGUGAUUCACUGGUGCUUUUUGAAGGUCAAAAAUUUUGUCUACUUUUAAAAGACCCUUUGACAGUUUAAGUUUAACUUUAUUUGGUAUAAGUAGGACUCCUGUCUUAAAGACAAAUACUGUCUGCUGAAAAAUUUGUUCUUAUUUGAUCAUUUUCCCUUGAAAAAGAACAGUUAUCACUGCAGUGGUGUGUUUUGCUUCAUCUUUACAUCAAACACAUUCAUUUUUGGUGCACAUCACUUCUGUGGCACAAAAUACUGUUUCAUUAGAGUUUUCCAAAACAGCAAUGGUAGUAAAAUUAUUAGGAUCUCAGAAUAUUUUGCAAUCUAAUUUCACUUCUUGAAUUUCCCUAUAAUGGUUCUGUGGUAGGGUUCAAAAUGUCAGGAGAACUAGGUAAACUUACCUAGGAAUUGGCCUGAAGGCCCAUCGUUACUCAGCAGUAUUGGAAUCAGCUAUGCGAAGGGGAGAAUUUGAAGACAAGUUUUAGGAUGCAUGGGAUAUGUUUGAAAGAAGGCUAUUUGCUGAAUAAGAUACAGACAUUUGAAAUAAAGGAUGUGGGCAUAUAGGAAAGGUCAAGAAAUGAAACUCAAUAGAAUGGAUAGGAAUGAAAGAGCAAAUGGAUGAGCAAGAAUUCUUAGUACUUAAAUCCGUCCCAGCAAAACCUCUUCAGUAAUUUGUUGUGACUUCCAGGAUGAAGAUCACACUCAGGACUCAACUGUCUGGAUGACCUGGCUCCAGCUGAUUUAGGUGGUCUUGUCUCCCGUGCCUUGGGAUUCAUGUCUUUGGAUGUCUGCUUCUGGGCCAGCCAUCACCCCUUUUCUUUUCGUUAACUUCUUUUUCUCCUUCAUUUUCAAUUCAGUUAUCACUCUUGUCAGGUAAAGCAGACCCCCGCCCCAGUCACCUCUUCUUUUUUAAUAACUCAUGUUUUCCUGUCCUUUUCUUUCACACGUUUAUCACAGUUGGUAGUUUUUUUUUAGUGCUUGUUGUAUUCAUCCCCUCCAGAGAGCAGGGGCCGUGGUGUUUUGCACACCUCUCCCGCCUGCCGCCCCCGCCCCCGCCAUCGAAGGCAUCAGCAAGUCUUUGCCAUAUAUGGCGAGUCCUGAAACAGUGAGCUGCGUUUUGAUGCUGGUCUCAAGGACUGAAUGAUUGCAUAAGGGGGCUGUGCAUUUGGAGUAAGAGCUGAACAGGGCAUGUAGGAGCCCUAAAAAAAAGUGACCCUUUUAAAGAUUAGAUUGGAAAAGUAUGUAGCCGGUAAGAAGGCCAAGUCACUCAGGGAUUAGUGUAACAAGUGUGUGUGGAGUAGCAACACCUACUAGCUCUUAGAAACUUGGCAUUGUAUGAUGGAGUGGAAGGGUGGUGCCCUCUUUAUUAAAGGAGUACAUAAUUUUAGUAGUUUAUUGAAGUAGAUACAGUCCUUAGUGUUCAUUUGGAGUUUUAUAUUGUGGAGGGAACCAGCCUGGCUCUUCUUUAUAAUUUUUAGCCAGCAAAGUGCGGUUCAUUCAACAGUUACAUCUGGAAAGUCAGUCCAGCACCAGCAGUAGGUGUCGGGUUCACAUUUAAAAUAAGUUCUAGCUUUGAUGUCAUUUAAAAAGUGAUGGAAAGGUAAAGAAAGUUGUUUGUUUGGAUACUUUUUGGCUUUACUUUGCCUUCACAGAACAAGAAUGAUUGAGGGAAAGUUUAUUGUAUGGAUGGAUUUUCAAAAGAAUUGACUCUUGUAGUUAGGAAACUGUUGAGGCUUGUCAGGUGAAUCAUCUUUUUAAAAGCUUAAAAGGGAUUUGUUUUAAAGUAGUUCUGAAAUCUUUCUCAGUGACUAGUUUCUGUAGUAAAUAUUUAGAAAAGCAAAUAUUCAGAUUUUAUUUUUUUGGCUCUUCGCCUGGGCCCAUGCCAGUCCCUUGGGACAUAGCUGUGACUCACAUGGACGUACAUGGUACCUGCCCUCUUGAAGCUCUUCAAUAGUUAGAUUGAGUUAGAGCUCAUUCAAGAGAACGCUAAUAAAAGAAAACAUGGCUUGUUGCUUCCAUCCAGCCAGCCAUCCCAUUGUCCAUCUAUUUAUGUAUUCCUUCAACUUAGUUUUGGUGGCAACAUGUCUUUAAGCUUCUUGUUGCUUUAUUUCUGGUAACAUAGGGACUAAUCUGCAAUGCAGGGAAGUAAAUUUGCUUAAGAUUAAUCAUAGUAUUUAAUAAAAAACCCAGUGAACAGUUAAAGGCCCUGAAGUUAAACAUUGAGAGAGAAAAGAAGAAGGAACAUAGGACUUCUAUAACCUGUUACUUGAGAUAGAUGAAAGUUCUGGUACACUGAUGGCUGGACGGCAUCACUGAUGCAGUGAACAUGAACUUGGGCAAACUCCCAGAGAUGGUGAGGGACAGGGAGGCCUGGUGUGCUGCAGUCCGCGGGGUCGCGAAGAGUUGGACAUGACUGGGUGACUGAACAGCAACAGCAAGCUGGGACUCAGGAGGAUAAUGAUUAUAAUUCCAAUGCAGAAUAGAAACUCAGAUCUUCCACUUGUUGACAUUGACAGACUUUUAAAAAAAGAUGUUCAUGUAAGCCAGUGAGUUUCUCCUAUUAAAAAGUAAGCUACUGUUUGAUGGUAACAGGUCAGUUCAGUCACUUAGUCGUGUCUGCCUCUUUGUGGCCCUAUGGACUGCAGCACGCCAGGCCUCCCUGUCCAUCUCCAGCUCCCGGAGUUUACUCAGACUCAUGUCCAUUGAGUUGGUGAUGCCAUCCAACCAUCUCAUUCUCUGUUGUCCCCUUCUCCUCCUGCCCUCAAUCUUUUCCAGCAUCAGGGUCUUUUCCAGUGAGUCAGCUCUUCGCAUCAGGUGGCCGAAGUACUGGAGUUUCAGCUUCAGCAUCAUUUCUUCCAGUGAAUAUUCAGGACUGAUUUCCUUUAGGAUGGGUGGAUCUCCUUGCUGUCCAAGGGACUCUGAAGAGUCUUCUCCAGCACCACAGUUCCAAAGCAUCAAUUCUUCAGUGCUCAGUUUUCUUUAGUCAGACUCUCACAUCCAUACAUGACUACCACAAUAGUAGCUACUAUUAAUUGAUUGCCUGCUAUGGGCCAUACACUAUACAGAUUCAUUAUCAGUUAUUUUAAUAUUAGCACUAGCACUGGAAGGUGGUUGGUAAUAUCUGUUUAUAAGUUAAAAAACUGCGGUGCAGGGAGAUAAAUUUGCUUAAGGUUAAUCAUAGUAUUUUGCAUAUGCUGCUUCUAGAUAAUAAAAAACGCAGUGAACAGUUAAAGGCCCUAAAGUUAAAUGAACGUUUAGAGAGAAAAGAAGAAGGAACGUAGAGCUUCUGUGACUUGUUAAUUGGAGAGCUAGAUAAAAGUUGUGGUAUGCUGGGAUUCAUACUUUGUGCCUCUAGUUCAUGAGUGUUUAAGAUGAUAAACCAGAACAUCUGAUAGCUUUCUACAUUUACGGAAUUCUUUACCUUAAGAAUCUCGGUGAGAGGGAGGUAGACGUCUUCCAUUGUGAAAGGCAGUUGCUCACUUUCUCUGCAUUUUUGGGACUUAGAAUGCCCUCAUAUGACCUGGGGCCUCCAUUCCAGCACCUCAGAAGCGGUGAUUUGCAGAAGCAGGCCCUAGCGGAGUCCAUGUCCGCAUAGGAGGAGGAUGGCCGUGGUGUCUCUUCUGGAGGCCGUCAGUGACAGAUCAAGUCCUGGCACUUCGUUCCGGUGUCCGUGGUGUCUCUGCAAGUCACAGGGACCGAAUCCUGUGUUGUCUCCACUGGACCACAUCUGUGGUUUGCUGUUUGGGUGUUCUUAACUAUACGGCCUUCCAGCCUGGCCCUCCUGGGGUUUUCUGUGAGUUGCCUAAUAUGCUUUAAUAACUUCCUUUUCAGUUUCAACAAAGCCAGAGUUAGUUUCUUUUGUUUGCAGCUAGAACCUUUACUGAGAUGGUGCCAGUUUCGAUAAUAGACGAUUUGAAGGAACUCUCUAGAGUCAGAGUCAUCUGUGUCUAGGUAAGAAUUUGCUGAGUAGAAGAGUUCACAGUAUGUAUUAAAUGAAAUACUCGUAAAACAUUUUGCGUAUUGAUUUAAUGAUUUUACUGAAUUCGAGUGCUUACUCUCAGCCAGGGUAUGUUCUAGGUGUUGGAUAUUCAGGGUGAUGGUGUAGGUAAGAUCCCUGUGCUCACAGAGCUUAUGUUCUCUUGUGAAGUGUAGAGUAAGCAAGGAAGCAACCAACAUACUGACCAGGAGUGAUCGAUAUUGUGAUAAAAGUAAAGAUGGGGUAAAAUGAUAAUGGGGCUUCCUUGAUGGUUCAGUGGGUCAAGAAUCUUGUCUGCAAUGCAGGAGACACAGGAGAUGCAGGUUGUAUCCCGGGGUCGGGAAGGUGCCCUGGAGGAGGAACUGGCAACCUGCUCCAGUAUUCUCGCCUGGAGAAUUCCAUGAACUAGAGGAGCCUGAUGGGCUACAUACAGUCCAGGGGGUCGCAAAAGUUGGACACAGCUGAGCGACUAACACGUUCUAAGUUAUAAUGAUGUAUGUGUGUAUGUUUAGGGAUUGCAUCUGAUAAAACAUUUACUUAAAAAUUACUGUCAGAAGUCUUGACUUCUGCUUUUUACUGUGGGGCAGUAACUUUCUGAAGUUAUCCUCCCAGCAUAAACAGCUAGGAAGCUGGACAAAACACAUGGAACAACUGGUUUUGGAUAGUAAACAAUAGGCAGUUCAGAACUGUGAUGCCUAACAGAUGGGAAACAGACGUGGUGAGUCCUGUGAUGGUCCAGCUUUCUGCCUGGAGGCAGCCUUCAGAUUUCAUUGCGGGGAUGUGCAUGUGUUCUCAGAAGCGUCUGACUCUCUGCGACCCCGUGGACCAUAUCCUCCCAGGCUCCUCUGUCCAUGGGAUUUCCUGGCAAGAAUACUGGAGUGGGUUGCCAUUUCUUCCUCCAGGGGAUUUCCCGACCCAGGGACCCAACCCGCAUCCACUGCGUUGGCAGGUGGAUUCUUCACCACUGAGCCACCGAAGGAGACCCCAGAGAAAGGCCGCAAGUUGAGGAAAGAGAGCCUGGAGUUGAGGAAGGCCAGAAUGGUUCUGAUGGGAGGAGCAGAGUUCUGAAAGAAGGCAGGCAUGCAGGGAAAGAGUUCCAUAAUCUUCGUGAUCACCGUGAAUGUUGACUGAAGGCUGGUCUGUGGGACUGCAGGUACAGAGGACUGGCUGUGAGUUUAUACUUGGAGAUUUGACUCUCCGGGGUGGGGUGGGGGGUCAGCACUUUUCACCUUUCUGUUGUUCAAGGGUCACCUGUAAUUUGAAAGGAAUGUAAUUGCUUGUCCUUACAGAGGCCAACACUCUUUAAAGAAAUGUAAAGAAAGCCAGCACUCAACAAUGUAAAAAUGUCCAGUAUCCAAUCAAAAAUUGCUGAAUGUGUGAAGAUGUAGGUUAAUGUGACUUAUAAUUGGGGUAUCAGUAAACUGAAACCAAUCUAGAAUUGACACGUUAGGAUUAAUGGGCAAGGACAUGAAAGCAGUUGCUGUAUUCCAUCUAUUCAAAAAGUUAGAAAUUAUGAAAGAUAUAAAAAGACCCACGUCAAACUUUUAGAGGCGACAGCUAAGAUGUGGAAUGAGAAAUACAUUGGAUGGCAUUAAUGGCAGAUUAGGCAUUCCAGAAGAGAGGAUUAGUAAACUUGAAGACAUAGAAAACUCAGUCAGUAGAAACAAAUGAUAGAGACAAUGGAAUUAGCAAACAAGGUUGUUAAAGUGGCUAUUAAAGUGGUUAUUAAAAUGCAGGGUCAAAUGUCAAUUCACUGUGUUGUACACCUGAAACUAAUAUAUUUCAUGUCAAAUAUACCUCAAUAAAAAAUAUAAGUAAAGCACAGGGUCAGAUUGUGGUUAACGUUGACAUUUUGGUACAUGAAUUUUUUCUAAAAAAGAGCAAAUUGUAACUGCUAACCUGAAGUUGGCUUGUUGUGUAGUUGAGAGUAGUUGAAAAUUAUUAUUUCGGCAAAGCACCAAGAUGUGGCAGAAGAACUUUACUGUGCAACAGUGUGCUCAUUUUUACUUGAUCUGUAACAGUAUUACCAUAAAGCUAGAAACGGAAAGCAUGCUUUUAUGGCCUCACAGUGUCUGUGGGUCAGAUAUACGGGCACAGCUUAGCUUAGUUGGGUCUCAGGACAGCGAUCAUAAGGUUGACGGUGCUGUGGUCUCACCUGAGGCUUCCCUGGGGAAAGGUCUCUGCUUGUUUGACGGGUGCCAGCGUUCAGCGCCCUCUGUGAUGGUGGACCGAGGGCUGCAGUUUCUUGCUGCCUGCUGGCAGGCACCCACCCUCAGUUCCUUGGGUUGUGGUCCUUUCCCAUCGUGGCCACUUAACUUGCUCCAAGACGGUGAAGGAGCGAGUCUGCACACUAGACAGCUGCGUGGUCUCCUGCCUCAUAACCACAGAAGCGCCAUGCCUUCCCCUUGCCUGUGCGCUCUUGGUUAACAGCAAGUCAUGGGUCUUGAAUCAAGGGAAGGGCCCGUGGAAGGGCCUGGCAGCAGAUGGCUGUGUGGUGGGAGCCACCUCAGAGUCUGUCCCUGCGGACGGUAGAGAGAGGUGGAGAGUGCGUUUCCUGGAGUCUGCGCCAGGCAUCUGGCUUUGAAUCCCAGCCCUGGAAGCAUCUCUGAGCCUCAGUUUCCCUGCGGGGAUAGUCUCUGCCUACUGUUGACAGUGUGUGAAAAGGGCGAAUGCUUGUCAUCAGUUAAAUUCUUUCUUUAUACUACUGUUCGUUAGUUCUCAAUAGAUGAGAUCUUCAGUCCUUUUUUGCUUCCUAUGAAUUUUUUAAAGUAUUUAUUCUUAGUUUUAACAUGCAAAUAAUCAAAAUUGAAUGUCUGCUGAAAGGCUUGUGAAGUAAAGCCUGUCCCUGGGAACAGCCCUCCUUACUCCUCCUAGUCCUGCCCCCUAGAGCUGUGCUUCCUGCUUUUGGAUGCUAGUGCUGAGACCACGACCCAAACUGGCUUCCGGGUAACUCACAGUUGGAAGUCCAGAGGUAGGGUGGAUUCUUCAGCUAAUUGGUUUUGUGGCUUCCCUGUGGCUCAUACGGUAAAGCGUCUGCCUACAGUGUGGGUAGACCCGGGUUUGAUCCCUGGGUCAGGAAGAUCUCCUGGAGAAGGAAAUGGCAACCCACUCCAGUACUCUUGCCUGGAAAAUUCCAUGGAUGGAGGAGCCUGGUAGGCUACAGUCCAUGGGGUCGCAAAGAGUUGGACACGACUGAGUGACUUCAUUGUCAAUGUCAGUGACUUCAGGGUCCUGAGUUUCCGUCUCCCCUUUGAGUCUUUGGCCGGUUACAUCCUCAAUAAGAUGCCGGAGUUUCAGAGUAGUACCCAGGUACAACAGUGUCUAGAGAAGGAAAAUUAUCUUUCAUGUAGCUGUGUAAGGAUGUGGAAGCUUUGCUUAGAAGCACUGGCAGACCUGCCUCCUGGCUCACAGGCCUGUUUCUGAAACACUCACUAGAAAGGGAAAUGGAAUGACAUUUAGACCAGUCGGACACGUGCGUGGAACUGAGUGCUUUCCCUGAGCACGUGCCUAAAUGGGUGAGUGUGCAGAAGAGUUCUGGACAAAAUUGACUUAGGUUACAGCGGAAAAGGGGGAAAUUGGAGGCUGGGUGGGUAACUCUGACCCUACUCUGGUAUUUGACAUAAGCUUUAAGACGCUGUCUAUUGGUUUUCUGAAGUGUGUGUGCUCAGUCUUGUCUGACUGCGAACCCGUAAACUGUAGCUCGCCAGGCUCCUCUGUCGAUGGAAUUCUCUAGGCAAGAGUACUGGAGUGGGGGAGUGGGUGUCAUUGUUUUUAGACUGACGUCUUCCAUCUAUCCGUUGUAGUUACACGUAUGUUUUCGUAGAGUGUAUUCAGUGUAGUGUUAUGAUUAUGUAAGUCUUGCUCACUGUAGAGGCAAAUUGUAUACUGUGAUUACAUUUCCCUCCUUGUAUAAUUUUGUUUUUCCCGUUUUGUUUUCCUCCUGUGGUUUUGUUUUGCUUUGUUUUCUAGGUCCUCCUGUUAACUUUCCCCAUACCUUCUAAUAGCCUCUCUGUAUAGUUUUGCACAAAGAUUAGAUAAUUGCCCUAUGCCUCAUUCUCACCCACCCCACCCCCUUCCUUAAGGGCCCCUCCAUCAAACCACUCCUAUAUGGGAAUUAAAUGUUGUUGAUUAAAGUGCGGUUGAUUUACAGUAUUGUGUUUCUGCUGUAUCGCAGAGUGAGUCCAUUAUACAUACAUGUAUGUGCUCUCUUUUAGGGUCUUUUCCUAUGUAUGUCGUUGUUUAGCUGCCGAGUCGUGUCCGACUCUUUGCGACCCCAUGGACUGUAGCCCACCCAGCUCCUCGGUCCACGGGAUUUCCCAGGCAAGGAUACUGGAGUGGGUUGCUAUUUCCUCCUCCAACUUUUUUCUUUCAUUUUGUCAGCACAGCUUUUAGACUUCCCGAGAAAGAGUGCAUGAGAGGUUAGUUUUUUGAGACAUCAUCUGAAAGUGUCUUUAAUCUGAUUUCUUUCAGGAGUAAAAGUUUUGACUGGGUAUAGAAUUGCAGUUGGAAUGUAAUUUUUACUGAGAACUCUGAAUGAAUUGCUUUAUGCUUUUCUAGCUUCUUAUAGCAGAUAUAAUUUGUAUUCUCGGUUCCAAAAGUAUGGAAAAGUCAGAGGACAUAAUGCACUCUCAUGUAACCAUUACCCAUCUUCAGCAGUCGUCAGCUCAUGGCCACUUUUUAAAAAUUUAUAAUCCUGUCUGUCCUUCUUCCUUUUCAUUUCAUACCAGCAAACCCAGAUACAUAAUUUUACUUGCGAAUAUUUGUCUCUCUAAAAGAUAAGGGCUCGUUUGUGAACUAUAACCCUUGUAGUAAUAUCAUACCUUUAAAAGAUUAAAAAUAAUUCUUCAAAUAUCCAGUUUAAGUUCAAAUUACCUUGAUUGCCUCAUAAUUAUAUUUUAAAACAGUUUAUUCAAAUUAGAAUCUUAAGUAAGGUCCAUAAAUUGUCAGACUGACAAACCUCUGAAGUCUCUUUUAAUCUGUUGGUGUUAUUUUUUUCCCUUGAGUUUUAUUUGUUGAAGAAACUGUGUUCUCUGUCUUGAAGUUUUCUAUAGCCUCUGCAUUGCUGAGUGAAACCCUGUGGUGUCAUUGACGUGUCCCCGUCCCUUGCAGUGUAUUUCCUAUAUGUGGUAGUGAGAUCUAGAGACUUGAUAAGAUUCUGUGUGUGUGUGUGUGUGUGUUUUGAGAGGUGGUAAGUAGGGAGAAUACUACAUGGGUGGUAUGUUAUCUUUAGGAGGCAUAAAAUAUCUGACUCUGUGAUGCUAGUGACUACUAAAUAUUAAUGUGGAUCCAUUGAUUUAUUUGAGAUAUUGGUUCUUUUUAUGUGAACCCUCCCACUCCCCAGGAGUUUUGAGGAUCUGAUCUUCAUCUGUACUGUUCGGAAGUUUUGUAGUGUUGCCUUGAAUAUUUUUUGUUUAUUUUUUACCCGUAUUGGGAGAUAUUUUUCAACUUUUUAUUUUCCAUCAGGAUAUAUUUUUUAUGUUCUCUGCUCCCUACCCCGCCCCCCCCCCCCCCCGCCCUUGCCCUUUCUUUCUUUUCAUUAGUAUUUUGUUUUUACUUCAUGGUUUCACAUAUUCUUUUACCUCUUCAGGCACAUUCAUAUUAUGAUUAAUUGCCUUUUUUUUCCCCUUCAUGGCAUUGUCUCUGUUUCCUGCGGAUUCUUGUUUUUCUGCUUGCUUUGAUUUCUGUCUUUGAGUUUUGGCAGCUUUCCUCAAAUAUCUGGCCAUCCCUGGGCUGGUGGCUUGCGUUUAGGAGUAAGUGGUGAUAAAGCUGAAAAGAAGCUAUUUUCGUGGGUGAAGCUUGCUCACUGAAGGCAUAUUAGUGUGGUGCUUGAGGGACCUGUAAGCGUGAGUGCCCUUGUUUUACUCCAGGGCUCUUGUUGAUGAGUCGCUAAGGUGUGUCCGACUCGUUGCUACUCUGUGGACUGUAACCGACCAGGCUCCUCUGUCCAUGGGAUUUCCCAGGCAAGAGUACUGGAGUAGGGUGCCGGUUCCUUCUUCAAGGGAUCUUCCUGAUCCAGGGAUCAAAUCUGCAUCCCCUGUGUUGGCAGGUGGAUUGUUUACCUGCUGCUGAGCCACCGAGGAAGCUCCUUGCAGUCUUCCGCCUCACCUGUUCUCUUGUGCUUGGUCUCUCCACGGGUGGAGUCUCUGUGUGUUUUCCCCAGAGAGCGUGCAUGCCUCUGGUCUGUUUGGGGACAUGAUCGUUGCCAGCCCGGAUAGGAUUUGGGUUGCAAUAUGGGGUUUUACUGCAUUUAAUUUGCUUAUUUGUUGAAAUGAACUCAGAUAAGUUGCAGGUAGAAUAUAAAUAACUUUUAUUUCUUGAAUCUUUUGAGAUAAAGUUGUUGACAUGAAGUCUCUUCUUUGUUGAAUCUUGUAGUGCAUUUUUCCUAUAAACAGAGACGUUCUCUUGCCUGACGACAGUACAGCCAUCAGAGGCAGAAAUUUAACAUUGAUAUAUUACAGUUGUCUGAUCCUUAGGCCUCCAUUCAGCUUUCAGUCGUUGCCCCAGUGGUAUUCCUUUAUAGAAGGAUACAGUCAAUCUAGGAUCACUUAACACCUUUUGUUGUCAUGUCUCUCCAAUUCUUGAUCUACAGUAGUCCUUCAGCUGCUCUUUCUUUUAUGAUAUUGAUAUAUUUGAAGACUACAGGCCAGUUAUUUUAGAGAGUCCCUCUCAAUGUGAGUUUGUCUGAUGUUUCUUUACUAGAUGUAGGCUGAACAUCUUGGCCAGGAGUAUCAUGGAAGGGAUGCUAUGUUAAUUUCAGUGCAUUUUGUUAGAUGGUGUAUUACUGAUUUUCAGUUUGUGCUGUAAAAAAUAUUACCACAAGUUCAGUGGCUUAAAAAAACACACAUUAUGUCACAGUUCUGAGUUCAGAAGUCCAAAAUGGAUCUGCUCUGGGCUCAAGUCUUGGUGUUGGUAGGGCUGCAUCCCUCGUGGAGACUGUAAGUUCAUGUGCCUGCCCUCUCCUGGUUCUGGGGGCCAUCUGCUUUUCUUGGCUUGGGUCUCCCCCUCUUUGCACAACUGGCCACUGUGGACCUCGCGCACCUGUGCUGCCGUCUCUCUCCUUCCUGCUUUCACUCUGGAGGGGUUUUGUGAUUUCACUGGGCCCACUGGGGUCAUUGAGGUUAGUCUCAAUUUUAAAGUUAUGUGAUUGGCAAAUUUAAUUUUCUGUGCAGCCGUGAUUCCCCUUUGCUAUGUAAAGGAACGCGUUCACAGGUGCCGAGGGUCAGGUUGUGGAGCACGCUUGGGCGGGGUGGUACCGUGCCUACUGCCGGGGGCAUAUGAUUUCCGUUGGUACCAUUAUUGAUAACAUUCACUUUGAUUACUUGAUUAUGGUGGUGCCUUCAGACUCCUCCAUUUUAAAGUUACUUUUCCUCCCUUUUUGUAAUAAGUAUUUUGUACAGAGAUACUUUGCGACUGUGUAAAAUAUUGUCGGUUACCGACUUUUAACGUGUUUACUUGUUUUGUAUCACUGUGGGUACCUGAUUUUCUGUUUCAUGCAGUGGGUUGUAAUCUAUUACUGCAUUGAUUUUGGUGCUUCACUUGCCCCAGAUUUCGCCAGGUUGACUUCUGUGUCCUUUUAGCCUAUCUCUGUCAUUUUUUGGAGCUCUUCCAAGCUUAUCUUAAACUUUUGUCUCAGCCUUGGAGUAGGCCAUUUUUCCAAGAAGCCCCUUCCCCCCUAAAAAGUCUUUAUUUUGAAAUGAUUAUUUCACAUUUCAAAACUCAUAGGAAGUUGCAAGGAUGCCCCGUCAGCUUCCUUUGGUGGAAUUUGUGUAGCCUUAGCACAGUAUCAAAAUCUGGGCAUCUGAUAUAUCUGGUACAUUUCUGGUAAAUGCAUGCCUUAUUUCUUUAGUUUUUAAACUUGCAUUUGUGUGUGUGAGCAUAGUCUUUUGUAACUUUUCUGUUCCUUGUAUAGAUUUGGGUAAGCUAGUCCUACAGUCAAAGAGAGCUGUUCUAUCACUUUAGAAGAACGCUUUUUGCUACCUGUUUGUAUUCCCAAUACCCCCUCCACCGUUUUGUUUAUUCUCCGUGUUUGUAGUUUUGUCACUUCAGUGUGUGAGAUGAGUGGAAUCAUACAGUAUGUAACCUUUCUAAGAUCAGCCUUUUUCACAAAGCGUAAUGCCUUGAGGUCCGUUUGGUGUUGUGCACAGCAGUAGUUAAUCUUUCUUAUUGCUGAGUAGGGUUCUGUUGUAUGCUUGUACCAAGUUUGUUAAACCAUUCAACUAUUGAAGGGCAUUUGGAUUGUUUCGAGUAUUUUGUAUGAUAUUGUGAAUAAAGCUGCUGUGAAUGUCUGUGACAGAUGUCUGUGCGGCGUCCUCUGCGUCAGGGGGUGGGGUCUGCGCGUGCUGCUGGGCCCCAUGCUGGGCGUGUGUGCAGUCCUCUAGGCACCCCCAGAGUCUCCCCGUGGUGUGUGUGCCCGCUGUGUUCUCAGCAGCGCCGCACGAGGGGCCAGUUCCUCGGCAUCUGCCCACCGUCUGGUAUUAUCACCCUUUUAUUCAGCUGUGGGUGUCGUGCUCUACUGUGGUUUCAGUGUGCAUUUUCUUAAUAACUAAGGAUGUUAAACAUCUUUUCAUUUGCUUGUUUGCUAUCUCUGUCUCCUCUUUGGUGAAAUAUCUGUUCAUGUCUUUCGUCCAUUUUCUGAUUAGUUUUUUUUAAAAAAAUUUGAGUUAUGAGAGUUCUUUAUGUGUUCUGGAUACAAGGUCUUUUUUUUGUUGGAUAUGUGAUUCUCCCUGUCUGUUCCUUGUUUUUUGCUUCCUCAUUACAGUCUUUUUUUUUUUUUUUCCAGAGUAAAAAGUUUGGAUUUUGACAGAGUCCAGUUUAUAUUAAAUUUUUCUUUUAUGGGUCAUGUAUUUGAUAUCAAGCAUGAGAACUCUGCCUGGAGUGCUGGUUUCUUUUCCUGGAGAAUGGUAUUUAGAAACCGAAAUCUGACCAUUAGGUAUGCUCAUUGCUGUUAGGGUGUGGGUGCUCCGCAGGUCUCUGGACAUAGAGAAUGUGUGUGUGUCCUCAGAGGCCCUUCCAGGUUUCAGGAUUCGUUCACCAUUUUCCUUGGUAUCUUCAGGUGUAGACACUUACUGUGUGCCUUUCUUCAUUCUCCUAAGUCUACUACCACUGUCCAUGAUUUUUCGUUACCUAAAAAUUUGACCAUUACUUUCUUCUGUUGUUAUUAUUACUUUUGAUGUCUUUACUGAUUUUAGUUGGCUUUAAUUUUCAGUGGCGCUUUGUGAGAAUAGUUGUAAAUGCUUGGAUCAUCCACUGUUGAAUUUGUACUUACUGAAGCUGUAAUAUUCCUUUUUUCAGACUAUUUUUUGGUCUUUAUUUCUUUACACUCUCAGCCCUGCUGUCUUCGUCCUUAUACUUGCUCUCACCCUGAUUGUGCUGUUUCUCCACAGCCUGUAACCAUCCAUGACUUUUGUUUCUAAGCAGUGAAGACCAGGUUUAUUAUUCAGGUCCUCCUUGUGGUGACCUCAGCUUGUCUUGGCACUCUUUGCCUGCAGCCCCCUGCGCUUGCUCCACUUAACGGCUCCUCUCAGUGGCUCUCAUCCCCGCGCGUGUUUUGCUUUCCGCUCCUUCCGCUCUGUCUUCCUUCAGGCACACUGUCUCUGCUGCUUACACAGGGCCUUCUGUAGAGCCCAGAGCUCAGCAUAGUAGGCACCUGAGGCAUCAGAUGCACAAAUGCUGCUUCCUCUAAUAUGAUAAUAUCACCCAAGCUUUUUAUUGCCUAUUUUCAUUUUCCAAACACUGUCAUCAUAUAGCAUCUCAUUUAAUUCUCAAAGCAGCUCUGUCAGCCAUUACUCAUCUUUAAGAAAUGAUGCUGAGUGAAAUGUCCAAGGUCUAAUUAUAGGAGUAAUAUUUAACAUGUUUGCGUUCCUUGUUAUGUGACAGGCCCUGAUUUAGAUGCUAAGGACACUUGGGGAAGAAAGCAGACACAAAUGCCCUCGGUACAGCCGAUGUUAGAAUGUUUGAAUUCCAGCCCUUGUGGGGUGGGUUUUGGGGAAAGUCUUCAUAACCUCAGUUACUCAUCUCAGAUGUCAUCUCCUUUAGUCUUUCCUAACUCUCCUGGAAGGAUGCAUAAAUGGGGUAGAAAGAAUAGCUCUAUCUUCUGUGUUCUCAUUGGUUCCUUCUUGUGUUUGCAUUGUGCCCAGUUUUACUCUCAGUUCAGUUGCUCAGUUGCGUCUGACUUUUUGUGACCCCAGGGAUUGCAGCACGCCAGGCCUCCCUGUCCAUCACCAACUCCCGGAGUUUGCUCAUAUUCAUGUCCGUUGAGUCGGUGAUGCCAUCCAACCAUCUCAUCCUCUGUUGUCCCCUUCUCCCGCCCUCAAACUUUCCCACCAUCAGGGUCUUUUCCAGCGAGUCAGUUCUUCGCAUGAGGUGGCCAAAGUAUUGAAGUUUCAGCUUCAGCAUCAGUCCUUCCGAUGAAUAUUCAGGACUGAUUUCCUUUAGGAGGGACUGGUUGGAUCUCUUGGCAGUCCAAGGACUCUGAAGAGUCUUCUCCAGUACCACAAUUCUAAAGCAUCAGUAGCAUUUGUAAAAUCACUAUUUGUAUUUGGGGCCUUGGCUAGAUUGAGCAGCAGUGGGCAGGGAUUUUUUUUUUUUUCCUGGUAUCCAGGAUGCCUGGCACAGAGUGUAUCUUAAAUAUUUCUCAGUAAGUGUUUGAACCCAUAACAUAAAGACUUAUCCAUGGUUGUCAUUUUCUACUGGCAGAUAGCAGUUCUCUUUUGUUCUCAUUACUACCUCUGUGCGAGGAUACAAAUCAGUUUAAAAAUCUCCACUCUGUAUUCUUAGCCAGGAGGGUAUAUUCUCAAAGAGAUUAUCUGUAGGCAGCUUCUUAACUGAAGUUCAAUAAGCUAUUUUGUGUGUGGAUGUGUAUAGGUCUUUAGCCCGAAGAUGGAGUCUUGACCCGCUUCUCUCCUCAGUAUUAACAAUCUUGUAGGAGUUCUGAGUUAUUCGUUAAAGAAGUGUGCUGAUACAAAAUAAGAUGUAAGAAUUUACCAGCCUUUUUUCCAAGUUCAAGACAGUAAAUUAUUUUCAGAUGUGGAGUGUUUACCUUCAAACAUCUUGCAAACAGGUACAUUUUAACUUUUCUUCCAUGUUUGUUUGCAUACAAAAUAUUGAGGUUAUCUGUAUUUAUUUAGUGAACCAUGUCAAAACUCAGAAGCUUAAAACAACCAAUGCUCUUGUUUGCUCACGAUUCUCCAAUUUGGGCAGGCCUUGCCUCCAUUCUACAUGGUGUCUCCUGGGACUGGGAAGUCCAAGAGGGUGGAUUCCAGCCCGUGUGGUGUCUGAGACAUCUUCCUUAGAUAACGUAUUUGUAUGAUUGCCCUGGGCUCUCUCACGGCAUGGUCUUGGGGUGGUUGAACUUCAUAUGUUCAACUGGUUUGAACUGGAUUCUGGUGGUGCCAACAGCAGGAGCCACUGGGCCAUCUUAAUACUUUACAUGCCUGAAGCUGGUAUAGUGUCAUCUUUACCAGAUUCUUUGGUCAAAAGCAAGUCACAGGGCAGUCUGGAUUCAUGCAGAGGAGACAGUAUAAGGUGCAGACACUGGGCUGCUGCUGCUGCUAAGUCGCUUCAGUCAUAUCUGACUCUGUGCGACCCCAUAGACGGCAGCCCACCAGGCUCUCCCGUCCCUGGGAUUCUCCAGGCAAGAACACUGGAGUGGGUUGCCAUUUCCUUCUCCAAUGCAUGAAAGUGAAAGUGAAGUCGCUCAGUCAUGUCCAACUCUUUGCGACCCCAUGGACUGUAGCCUACCAGGCUUUUCUGUCCAUGGGAUUUUCCAGGCAAGAGUACUGGAGUGGGAUGCCAUCGCCUUCUCCGGCGGACACUGGGCAGAAGUGGUUUAUUGGGACCACCAAGGGGCAUGAACUCCAGAAGGUUAUCUGUCUAAAGUGGAGAAAGACCACUUUUCUGUUCUGUUUUUAUUAUCUAAUCUGACCAGCGUAUCCAUUUUAUAAUGCAGUGAUCUGAUUGUAUGUCAUUUUUGCUGUCACUACAUUCAGAUAGCUGUAAUUUGUUGUAUUCACUUAAACUGUGGAUUGAUCAUUUUGGUAGGGCUUGUAAUUAUGGAGAUGUGGAGAUUGAAGAGACAAUGGAGUACUUUAUGGCUUACCCGGCUCCGAGUUGCACCUAAGUUCAAGUACCAAAACAUUGGAUAAGAACCCAGAGUACAUACUUUGUGAAAUAAGUGAUGUGAACGUCCUUUGGGGCCACAUGUUGCAGUCCAUAAAAUAUCUCAAAUGUUUCUCCAGCAGCCCUGUGGUUAUGCUUUGUCCAGGAGAAAGAAGAGACAGAUAAUUACAUCUUCUGUAAUGACAGCUCAGGACUUAUGUUUUUCUGCCUCCGAAUAGAUUUCUCCUUAAUGCUCAGAAUAUGAAAGUGUUCAUUUCAUUUAAAUGGUUCUGAUCUCGAUUCCAUGUUGAGGCCGUCCUGUUAACUGGGUUUGAGGGUGACAGUGGAAGUUUGUCACAUUCGGUGGCUCCUUGUGGCUCAUUGACCAGACACAUCAGAGUUCUCUGGAAAGCUUAAAAGAAGUGGAAGUUUUUGGGUCUAGCCCCAGACUCGGCGUAUCCAAAUGUCUGAGAAGGGGUCUGGGUGAUGUGUAGUUUGCGGAUCCCAUUUUUAGGUUCUGCAGCUGCAGUCUCCAAAGGGGCGCUAUCACUCCCCAAGGAGGGGAGACUUUUCAGGCAUGGGGAGGUGAGAAAAAUCUUAGCUAGUACAGUGCUUUGUGACCGCCCCCCCCCCCCCCAUAAUUCAACCCUAUCUGACAAAGCCUUAUUCCACAAUUUUUCAUUCUUCUCUGUAAAGGAGAGAUUUAAAUAAAGCUUUCCUCCUGGGGAUGGGAGUAAAGGAAAGGUUGAGAACCAUUGUUCUGUAAGAGUAAUUCUGACAUAGUACCUGUCCCACCACACCUGAGCCACCACCCCCAUCCUGGAAAACGUAGUGUGUGAUUUGGAGAAUGUGUUUUUAAUACUAAGGUUUUACCUAUGCUAAAUAGGCUUUCCUUUAAAAAUCUUGACGGUUGGUGAAAGCGGUUUACUCCAUGGUGUUUUUGCAUCCAGCCAGAUUGAGCUUACCCUCACGGACAAAGCACUGUGAGAACGGACUCUUCUGGGAUUUGGACUCUUCUGGGAUUCGGAAGCUCUUCAGUUUUACAUUAGCAAAAGCUCCUCCUGUUCUUGGGCUGGUUCACACCCAGCUCACAAGGAUGCCUUAUAGCCCAGGAAAGGACGUGCUCCUGUCCCUCCUGGGAGCCAGGCCUGUGUCCUGUGCGCUGCAGGCCCUGGGGGUUAGGGUGGGGGCAGAGGCGGCGCCCCGGCGCCCCUGUUCUUGGGGCAGGAAGAGUGUGGGCCGGCCACCACUGCUCGGGUUUGUUGCUUGCUUUCCUUGCUUUGGAUGGGGUACGAAUGAAAGUGCUGCAGUUUUGGGCAGUAGUGGGAGAAGGGGGGCUUCCCUGGUGGCUCACACGGUAGAUAACCUGCCUGCACUGUAGGAAACCCAGGUUCGAGCCCUGGAUCAGGAAGCUCCCCUGGACAAGGGAAUAGCAGCCCACUCUAGUAUUCCUGCCUGGAGAAUUCCAUGGGAGCCUGGUUGGGCUACCGUCCACGGGUUGCGAAGAAUUCAGACACAGCUGAGUGACUCACACACACAAAGUGGGAGAAGGAGAAGAGAAGUUUCUAAUAUAUCACUUUCUGUAAAGAAAAUUUAUCUUGGUGUGAGUAUUUCUAGGUCCUUGUUAAUGUCUUGGUCCUGGUUUUGGUUUCUGUGGCAUUUGUCCAGGCUCAGGAGAGUUAAAGGCGUAGGACAGCCAGAAAUCUAAAGGUUUCUGUAAACCUGCAUUCACGUGAGAGCACAUUGCUUGGCAACCGGCAGAUGCUGGGGUAGGUGAUUUGUUGACUCAAUUAAUAAAGUUAACCUAAACUUUAUUUUUAAAAAAGUGUUGUUCUCUUUUCUGAUUUUAGAGUCUAAUCUUAGCAUAGUAUUGAAUGGAAGGUGACCUGGAAAGUUAGGAGGCCCGGGGUCCAGUGUUCUUCCUAUGCACCAUGAUUCUUAACCUCUAGACUUUCACGAAGAAUCUUUUAAAAGCCCUUCAGCGUGCAACAUUUUAGUGUCAAACACCUUAGAAAUGCCCGCAGCUGAUGUCAUCAUUAGAGCGAACGGGUUCCAGUUGCCACCCAAGGAGUGGUGUAUUCGGGUCCACAGUCAAGCUGCUGUAACUGGGAGCCAGCACCUCCGUGGCUCUGAGAACAUAGAAUCCUCUCGAGGUGAACUGCUGGGUCGGCGGGGGGCGGCCCCCGUGGCUCCUUCAGAGACAGGCAUUUAUUCUUCCCUGGUCCUUCAGGGUACCCUGGGGAUGGGCCUCAUCUGUGUUGUCCUUGCCCCAUCUCUUAGGAAGGUGAAGGGACAGACAUGUUCACUCCUUGUCUUAGAAGAUCAGAAGCGGCAGCCAUGCCUCCUUUUGCACUCCGUCUGUGAGAACUUGGUCAUGUGGCCAUACCCAGCUGCCGUGGAAGCCGGAAAGUGGAACCCAGCAGGGCAGUUGUGUGUGUGACGAUUACGGAGGGAGGAGGUGACUGUCUUGUCUCUGCCGCAGACAGCGUGGAGGAAACCGUUUAGUUUCCUUAGUAUCCUUUUGGGGAUAAGCUUUUUACUGAAUGUUUUUGUUUACCAAAAAUCUUACGGUUAACACAAAGAGGAAGUAAAUUAUUUUGGCAUUUGAUUAAAAUGCUGAGUAUAUUUGAAAGGCAUGUUCUGAAAUUACUAGGAACAUGAAACUAACCAGCUCUAACUGUUUAGACCUUUGUCUCCUCAAAGUACAAGCCAGGUAAAGAGUUGUUUAGUCUCUGCUGCAUUCUGUGUUACUGGAGACACCAAGGUGCACAUUCUGUUGCAAGUGACAUCUCUUUCCCAGAGGAGUAGCACAUCGUUCCCUUUGGUAAACUAGCCCAGCAGAACGAAGCUCUUUCUUAAAUGCUAUCAAACCUCAUGGGCUCUGAAUUCUAAGAAGUUCGUAAAUUUGGCCAUGUGUGAAAAUCACCUGGGGCCCUUGUUCAAAAUACAGGUUCUGGCCCUACCCUUUGGAAGUUCUGAUGGUUCUGUCUCUGAAGCUGAAUUUUUAACCAGCCCCUGAGGGUGAUUCUGAUGCAGAUGUCAGUGGUAUGGGACCCACUUGCUUUGGAUAGUCUACACCUCAGGUGCCUCAGAUGUGAAAGUGCAAAAUUAUGUAUCUACUGGGUUUUGUAGGGUUCAGAGAACGUGACACGAGUUGUACUUAAAAUUGCUUCAUAAAUUAAAACGUAUUAUCAGAAAUGUUAGGUGGCGUUUUUAAGUCUAUGCCAGGUAUUGUGCUAAUUUGUUUGGUAAAUAAGGUUAAGUGCUCAUAUCUCCAUUUGGAAGUAAGCUGGGAAAUUACUAUAAGAUAGAAAUCUAGACUUCUUGAACCUUGCCUAAGUGAACAGAGAUUCUGGAAAAGUUAGCUGCUCAGCAUAAGUUCCAGUAUAGCACAAACCAAAUAAUUUACAUACUUUUGUUUUAACAUCGUGUUAAGACUUCCCUGGUGGCUCAGAUAGUAAAAGUGUCUGCCUACAAUGCAGAAGACCCGGAUUUGAUCCCUGGGUCAGGAAGAUCCCCUGGAGAAGGAAAUGGCGACCCACUCCAGUACUCUUGCCUGGAAAAUCCCAUGGACAGAGGAGCCUGGUAGGCUACAGUCCAUGGGGUCGCAAAGAGUCAGAUACACUGAGCAACAUCACUUCUUCACUUCUCUUCUUAAGUUACUGUGUAUCAACUUGAUGACUUCAAUUAAAUACAUCUUCAGUGUCAUCUGUGUGGGAAAUUGCUUUGUUCUUUGACCUUGAAUAUGAUAUAGUCUCUGUUCGUAAUGAAAUUACAACCUGGUAGAGAAGACAAGACUAUUAAAUCACAGUACCAUUCUUAAGAGAAUUUUCUUCUUAAGGGAUGUAUUCUACAACUGUUACAAGGCAGGUUCUGAAUGUGAUGUUCAAGUUCAGAAGAUAGGAGAGGUCAUGUAAGGUGAAGAGCACAGCUUGAGACAGAAGGAGGGCUUCCCUUUUUCUUUCUGCCCCAGAGGGACCAGUGUCUGUCAGGGACCUGGACACUCUUCUCUCUCCCUGAUCUGCGAUUGUCGGGACCUUGUAAGGAAAGGAACAGGAUAGAGAAGCUUGUGAAGGUUAAGGAUGUGGCCCCUUCUCUGAAGUAAAGGGGAGCAGAACUAAAUUUGAUGAUGCAAAGCCUGUGCUAGGCACAUCUGCAGAUCUUCCUAAUCAGCUGCAGCAGUUCCGUGGUUGAGAGGGGCAGUGUCCUUUAGUGGAAAGAGUAUGGGAUCUUAAAACCUAGAACAGGUUUGGUAAAAGAGAGAAAGUGAAAGUCACACAGUUGUGUCCGACUCUUUGUGACCCUGUGGACUGUACGGUCCAUGGAAUUCUCCAGGCCAGAAUACUGGAGUGGGUAGCCUUUCCCUCCACCAGGGGAUCUUCCCAGCCCAGGGAUCGAACUGGGAUCUCCUGCAUCACAGGCGGAUUCUUUACAACUGCCCUAAAUUGAGAAGCAUUUGGUAAUGUUAGACCCAAAUCCGGCUUGUACACAGAUGUUCAAGUAAGUGGCUUUUUUCCUGGUGAGAUGACUACCCAGGACAUGUCAGCCUGUUCCUUCUUUUCAGCAUAUUAGAUGUGCCUUGGCUUUCACAAGGGCGUGGUUGCUGCUUAACCCAUUGAGAUAUUACAGUUAGAGCCCCGAGGGUUCAUGGUGAAGCUGCAGGGUGGAGAAAGGGGGAAGAGUGGUGUGGAAAGCACGCAAUAGUAGGAAAUUUUGACAGGAAAUACAAUCCAGGCUGAUUCAUUAGAUGAUGCACCAAAAGUUAGGGGUAAAGUAGUGAAAAGCCACAAAUACAGUUUCUGCCCUCAUGUCAUUGACAGUGAAAGUUUGGCAUUUUAGCAGUUGCUGUUUGCGAUAGAACCUAUGAAAGCUUUCUUAAAGUCUUCCAGAUUGGAUAGCUCCGUAUUGGGUUUCACUGAGCAUGAAAGUGGUGGGGAUUUUACAUUCUAUGUCUUCCAGUGGUUAUGUCUUUUUAAAGCUUGAAGGAACUCACAAAAAAGUAGUUAAGAUUGUAAAUCAUUCCAAAUGAGAUGUUGAUAUUAAAUUAGGCAUACUCUUCCACAUCCUCCAAGAAUACAAAUACAGACUGAAGCGUUUUUCAUAGGUGAUGUUUGUAAGUGUACAUAUUUUAAGAUUGGAAAUGUCUUUAUCUCUUUGUAUUAGUUUCCUGUGGCUUCUGUAAAAAAUCACCACAAGCUUAGUGAUUUAAAAGAACAGGUGUGUGCUUUCAUUGCUCUGGAAGUCAGAAGCCUUGGAAUCGGCAGCCCGGAGCCGAAGCUGCAGUGUCGGUGGUGCGGGGCGCCUCCUCCUGCCGCGCUCCUGGCGCUGCCGGCGCCCUCUGGCUUGUGGCCACAUCUCUCUGAGCUCUGCCUUCUCUCUGCUGGUGUCAGGUGUCUGCCUAGUGCUCGCAUAAGGACACUUGUGAAGGCAUGUAGGGCCCGCCCGAAUCGUCUCUUCAUUUCAGCAUCCGUAACUGAACCUUAGUCACAUCUGUAAAGACCUGUUUCUAAGUAUGAUCACAUCUGUAGCUUCCAGAGAUUAGGAUGUGGAUAUUUUUUUGGAGAGUGACCUUUUUUAGCUUAUGCUCUGAUAGAUUGCAGGCAGAUUUUUGGACAGAGGAGCAAAAAUUGUGUGAACAGAGGAGCCUCAAGAGUUGGAUAUGACUUAGCGAAUAAACCACCGCCACUGAUACAUUAUAUGGAAGAGUAGAGGCAUGUUGCUUUUGAAAUAGUAACUUUUAGAUAUUUGUAAGUAUAUUUCUAGUUAGAGUAGAAAUUCAUAGUGUAUUAUGCAUCUUUUCAACGUUAGCUUGAUUUUCAAAUUUGGGAUUCAAAUUAGGCAUUGCCCCAAAUUUUAGUACUUCACAUGUCAUUUAUAAUAAUGGUUUUUGAGCUACUAGUCUCUAAAGAGUGGAGGUUAUGGGUCUGGCUCAAUCCGACAGUGAUAAUUUUUAUUAGGAUUUGUUAAA